CCAGCCAGCCAGGGAUGUUCAGACCACUGCUGACAGGUAGCCUGAAAAGCAGAAGAUCUCCUAGGAUGUUAGCAGGAAGGAUCUGAGGACGACCUUUGGGGAUCUCUGAGGGUCUAGACCUACCAUAUCUUAUCUUGAAGCUGCUCCCAGAGCUCUUCAUCCCCUUGAUUCUUCAGGGUAAGAAGAGUUACACAGCGGAAGGAGCAAUGUCAGAAGGCAUCCGCUUACAAGCUGGAAAUUAGAUGGAGCUGCAAAGUCAGUUGCUGCCUUAGGCCCUGUCUUGGCUGCAUUAGCUGUGGUUAUACUGUGUGCCUCAGCAGUGCUCUUCAGCUCCCCAUGGAAACUGCAGCCAGAAAGGGAGAAACAAGACAUUCUGGCAAGUCCAGCCAUAUCAGGGUGAGGAGAGGACCAAGACACACACAGACAAAAACACCAGGAUGAAGAGUGCUCUUGUCUUCCAGCUUCUGAUAAGAACAAAUGUGUGAGCCCCAGAGAGAGAGCAGCAAUCCCUUCUGGAAAUGGCUUGGGAAUACCAUGGAGGAAGCAGGAGCAUUGGUGAGAUUUUGAAGACGGAAGAGUGAAAGAUGAGGUGCUAAAUCUGAGACUGUGGCUGCUAAAAUGAGCUGCUGAACAUCAGAGAGCAGGAAUUACUGCAUUUCCCAAGAGUUCUGCAGAACCUCUGAGCCCUUUCUUUCUAGUAAUAGAAAUCCAUGUGGGUCUCAAGAAGUGUUAAAAUAAGAGUUUUUGAAAGCAACAGUUUUUCAUAAAGGCAAAAAUAUAUUUUAUAUAUAAAAUAUGUAUCCUAUGCUCUAUGUUUAUCUGGUUUGCCCAUUUCAGGUCCCCUGAGCAGAUAAUGCUGCAUCCUCAGCUCCCACACUCUCCGCCCUCAGCUCCCUCACCCUCCAUCCUGGCCACUGUGCUGUACAUUAUUUCAAAGGAGCACAGCUGGGUGCUGGACUGUAAUUUCUCUUGCAGCUCAGAUCAGGUCCAUUAGUUUAUUUGAAGGUUAGGACCAAGACCAUAAAAGUGCAUAAGGAGCUAAUAGACAGACUGGUGUUCCUGCUGUGCUCAUGGGGGCUUGAACAAGGGAGAAAAUAGCCAGGCACAUCCAUAUUAUUUUCAUCUUUUGCUUCACAAUUUGCGGGAGUCUCAUUCAUAAAUGACAAAGAAACAGCUCCCUGCUGUGAGGUCCUCAUACCACAGAGAGCUGUAAUGAGUUUGUAACGAGAUGGAGAUAAGGUUUUUAGUGAUUACUCAGACAAACCUCUGAGUGCAAAUCAGAGAUGUGCUGAGCAAGGGGUAUAUCUUUCCAUCACUCUCCAUGGCUUAAACAUCUGAGGAUACUUAAGGUAUUCUCAUGGUAUUAUGUAAGAAGAGCUCAGUAAGACAAAAACGCCCUAAAUGCAUCUUUAUGGAUUUUUCGCCUUUGCUGUAUGUCAGAAACUUUUGUCAUUUGACGGCCACCAGCAGUAAUUAAUGGCUAGCAAUAUGUCUAGGGGCAAUGUAUGUUUCAAAGUCAGUAACAGGAAAGCCUCCAUGAUCUGGAAAGUCUUUGGCUGUGGAACUGUCUCCUUGCAAAAUCACAAACAAGUAUUUUGCCUAUGUGCUCAUUGAAGAGUUCCAAAUAAAUAGCUGGAAUAUAAAUGAAGAGGAGUGAAGAACAGGAGAUUGUUUACCUUAGAGUGUGGUGCUAAACUGAGAUUUAAGAGUUGUUUCUGUUUUGGUCUUUUAUGAUAGCUUCAGUAUAUUUAUAUUUUUCAUAGGUAUGCAUAUAUAUUUGUGGAGGUGUAUACAUACAUAUAAGUGCUCCUGAAAGAAAUGUUUUAUUUUCAUUUUCUUAGAAGCAUCAGGUGUUUUCUGUGUUGAAUCUUAGCAUAGGUAAUAUAUAUCCAGAUAUUAAAGUAACCAUGGCAAAAUAAAGAAAUAUUUCCAAAGAUGACUCCUGUACCUCAUUGACUGCUCUUUCCAAAAUGUGUGGUUAUGAAUAAACCAUUUACUUCCACAAGUAUAUUCUCUGCAGGAUUUCAGGUACAAAAUAAUUAAAAGGUCAGAGAAUUACAAUAAACAGGUUUACUGCAUCUCUGUAUAACAUAAAUCUCAUUUCUAUUUGUCUUGUUCUGUCCUUCUUAAUUAAAACAUCAGACCACACGUACAGUCUGGAGCAGCUCAAUUAUGAAAGGUUAGAUCCAUCAGUUUAUUCCUGAUUGGUUUAUUAAUUACUGGCCUUGACUUUUGAUUCAAAUCAACACUCUUUCCUCAGGAUAAAAGUGUGUAUUUUGUUACAAAUAAUAUACUGCACUUUUAAACAAAAAUAUAUUGGAAACAUUUACAAAAAAGCUGCCACUGGACUUGGCUUUGAUGGAAUUAUGUUGGCUUGUUCCAUGAAGUCUGACUUUCACACGUGAUCCCUGGCGAAUUUCUAAAAAGUCUUGUUACUGAAUCCCUUUAAUCCAUAAAAGGAAUGAAAAACAUGCUGUGAGCUGAAAUUCUGUUUCAGUUUUGUAAAGAUGUUUCAAAUACAUAAUUUUUAUCAAUGGUUUUCAAGAUAUUUAAAAAUGAGACUUCUGAUGGUUCUGUGGAAACAUUUUGUUUGCAAACCUGCUGUAUUGUGCCACCUGAUGUGCUCCAAAGAAGUGGAAGAACUUUUGACAGUAAAUCUUGCAGAAAUGGCUAAGUUGUGCCUGGAGACGCUGUGGAUGCUGUUAAAGACAAGAUAUGAAGGGACCCAUCCAUUAAAGAUAAGACAAGGCAGGAGUUUGCUCUUCCUUUGUUAUUUUACCUAUGUACUUCAGCAAUUUGGAUAUCGCAUAUACAUGAAAGCAGUGGCAGUUAAGAAAGGCUUUAUUUAUUUACUCCAGCAGUAAAUGCAUUUCUCACC